GAAGGAGUCCAUUUAUGUUAAGCUCCUGAGACUUGUGUCAGGUGAUGGGGACACCACUGUGAUUAAGAUGGGCAGGGUCCUGACUUGAGGUUGAGAGCAGAGACUAGUAUACUACAGCAGGUGGGCUGAGGUUGGUACCAGAUGCAGAGACGCACACUCUGGGGAGAGAGGGAGCCAUGCCAGUAGAGAAACAGCACUCCAGGCCCUGGGAGGGUCUAGUGUGAAGGCUUGGAAGAGGGUCCGUGUGUCCUGGAGAAGCAUUCUGGGGUCAAGACUAAAAGACAGUAUACCGCCAGGACCACAGAGCCUUCUACGAGCUCCGGUCUGCCCUCUGCUCUCAAGACUUUGUUCUGACUUGUGGGCAGAUGGCUGGGGAGUAGAGAGGUAGGUGGGCAUGGGGACUGUAUGACCAGACCUAGCCUGGGAGUCCCAAGGGGGAAAUCUAUCAAAAACUCAUCUUUCUCUCUUUCUGCCUACGGUGGUGGGCGGGGAGCUUCGGUGGCCUCCUUUCUGCUCCUGACUUUUUUUUUCUGAGAUACUGAGGGAACUCUCAAGAGCCAGACGACCAUCUCUGUGUGAGACCAAGUGGGGUCCAGUAUCCCCACCCCCCCCCGACUGCUGGAAUGUAGAGGGGAACAGACUGUACGGAUGAAGGCCUUGAAAUAGUACACGUAAGAAAACAAAGUGGUGAGGAUGUGUGGAGGAGGCAACCUAUAUCCUGGUGUUCACUACAGAAGCCACUGUGCAGACUUCCCAGCAAACAAAACAGAGGGCGCUGUUCAGUCUAGGUAGUCAGCACACACUUGGGUACCAUGGUUAUCCUGGCAACGUCUACAAUGGCCAAUAUGGAACCAGCCUAGGUGUCCAUCAGCAUGUGAAUGGAUAAAGAAAAUGUAGUGUAUAUAUAUAUAUACACUGGAGAUUUAGUCAGAAGGAAAUUUUGUCACUAGUAGAGAAAUGGAUGGGACUAGAGAGUACCAUGUUAAGCCGAAUAAGCCAGACUCAAAGAUCACAUGUUUUCUCUCAUAGGCAGAUUCUAAUUUCUUUUUUUUUUUUUUAAAGAUGUGCAAGUAGAGGGGCACUAUUUAGGAAAAGGAAGGGGAGCAGUGAAGGAGCAAGGGUUGCAGACAUGCUACUCAGGCUGUUCUCAGAGAAGAGCCUGCCUGGGGAGCAACUCCAGCGUGAGCCAUUCUCAAUUUGGGACCCCAGCCAAAGUGCCAAGGGCCGAGUCAAGGCUUUCCUACUGACCUUUGCCCCUGGCUGCCACCCCACCUGGCGGCUCAGGAGUUCUCGGGAUGGACUUCAGCACCUCAGUGAAUCGCAGAUCUCUUAUUUACCCGGUACUGAGCUAAAGGACAAUGCGAUCCAAGAGCACUCUGAUGGGCUGGGGCCAGGCUUCACGCUCUUGUCCAGGGCUCUGCUCACAAGGCCUGGCGAGGACACAGGAACCCAUUGUCCUGCCAGCUGAGUCUCCCUGGAAUGUGUCCUCCCAGCUGUGCGGACACUGUCGCUGCCAGGAGCAUGUGAUCCUCUGGCAGCACUGAGUCCUUGGGAGGGGUCUGCCUUGCCCCUCCUGGAAAUGAAGAGAGACAAGGGAGAGUCUGAGGCCAGGACCCUGCAUUGACACCAUCGGAAACUUGUACCUCAGCAUUGCCUGAACCAGCUGCGCAGGGUCCAGCCUGAUGCAGUGUUGGAGCAGGAGUGCUGUAGAUGGAAUUUAUCUCAUCCCAACAAACUGGAGACACCAGACAGACACAGGAGAGGAAUCCUGGCAUUUCUUAAUCACCAUAUGUUGGUCGCUCAGAAAGGAGAAAACAUCCAGUUUUGUAUGCAAAAAAGGCGGCAGGAGACAACAGUCGAUGUUCUGCUCUUGGCCUGUUAAAACCUCAGGAAGUCCUCAAGCCCUCUGCUCAGCUCAUAAACCAGAUCAGACUGUUGCAGCAUCCUGGGCUUUGCACGAUGAUCAGUAGGUGGCGCUGCGUCCUGAGCUGCGGAGCAGAGCAGCGAGGGCGCGAUUCGCCGCUAGAUGGCGCCUUGUAACCGCCCUGUAUGGUCGCUGCCAGUCUUAGCCUCACUGCAUCCUUCCUUGGCCACAGGGUCUUGAUUCUGCAUCGUUGGCCACUGGGACCUCUGAUCUGCAUCCUUAGCCACAGUCCCUUAUCCCUGAAGCCCUCCCCGCGCUCUUCCUUCCAGGCUCCGGCUUCAUCUCCAAACACCGAGUCAAAGUCAAGUCUAGCUGAAAAUACACCAUCUGCUUGUGAAAAAUCUCGCUGGCGCUGUCACGUCAGCAUCCGACGCAGGUUAAUAACCGGCCUCAGAGCAGAUGGCUGCUUUUUAUAAUUACCGGGUCCCUGCCUAGGCUUGCUCCCCUCUGCUUCCUCCCCAGCAGGAGCAGGUGGGUGUCACACCACCGCGCGUGCCUUACCACCUGCUGCCACCAGCUACUGGUGGUGACACAGACCUGCAGAAGGCUCCUUCUCCCCAGGGAGGCCUGGACCCAGAUUAAACAGAUAGUCAGUUUACCAGAGAAGACGCAACACGCAUGCUGCAUGCCAAACCUUGGAGGGUAAAUUAAUGAGAGAUGUUGAUUGGAUGACUCAUACUUUUAAAUUCAUCUUUUCGCUCUGGAGGAGUCGUAAUCCAAAGAUAUAUCAAAUUCCAAAUUACAGAGACGGUAACUCAAAGCGUGUUCACCGCAGCACUUUGCCUUGCCUGAAAGGCCACCUCACCUCAUCCCCAAGCCCAUGAGGGUGCACCCCAAAUGCCAUGAUAUAAAUUUUAGGAUACUGUGUAACCAUUGCCAGUGUUUCCAAGGCUCAAUGAUUAAGAGCAUUGGCUGUUCUUCUAGCAGACCCAGGUUCGAUUCCAGAUUUGAUUUCCAGCCCCCACAUGGUGGUUCACAACUGUCUGUAACUCCAGUUCCAGGGAAUCUGACCCCUCCUCUGGUAUAUGUCAGGCAUGCCUGCCGUGCAGGCAAAACACCCAUACACGUGCAAAUCAAUAUGUACAUUUUAAAAGGAAUAUGAAAUUGGUGGCACAUGCUGAUGAGUCAGAGGGGCUACACUCUUCUGGAUUUUUCGAAGUUUUCAGCAAAAGCCACUGAUAAAUAAAAGGAAAUGAGUGUUUUUUUAAGGACUGUUUAAAAAAAAAAAAAACAGAGUUAAAGGUGGGCAUGGUGGCACAUGCCUGUGAUCUGAGAUUUUAGGUGCCUGAGGCAGGAGGAUCACGAGUUUGAGGUGAGCCUCUAACAACACAAUGAGAGCCCUGUCUCAAAAAUAACCUCAACCUGGACGAAAUCAAACCAACCAAUCCAAGGCAAACCCACCAGAGCUCAGCGCAGGUGAAACUGGUAACGGUGGUUCAUCAGAGUCAGUCCGGGCAGCUGUCUUCUCCAGUUUGCAUCCUCCGGCUUCCUUUAGGUUUUGUACUGGGCAGCUACUAUCUAUCAAAAAUUAAGUUUAAUGAAAACCUCCUGGUCCCCUGAACCUGGCACAGAGUGUGACCACAUGCAGGGGCGUGGAGGGUGAGUUCGACUGCUUAACAAAGGAAUCCUGUUACAACCCUGACUUUUCUAAAUGCUGAGUAUAAGCGACUGCAGAAUUUGACAUACUGUUCAAAACGGGGGACACACUUCUACUCAAAGCAGGUGGGAGACCGAGGCAGGAGGAUGGCGUUAAGUUCGACAGCCUGGAUCACAUAGUAUUACAGUGAGACCCUGACUCAAACUAACAAAACAAUACAAUACAAGCAUCCCCUAAUGUGAAGCCCUGAACUAAAACUCUUAGUUGCAGUCUUAUUGCCAUGUAUGCAUCAAUCAGUAUCUUCAUCUUUUUUUUAAACUAUAGCAACUGGGGUAGGUCUUGACUUUAGACUUUUAGCUCAAGGGCCCAUGGGGGUCACUUAGUGUUUAGCACGAAGAACAGAAAGUGUCAAUGGAACCAGGAAAGACAGUCUCUAAAGACAUCGCUCGGUUCCAGCCCUGCCCUAUCGCCACCCACUGACACCCACUGACACCUUCCGGGCUUCACCUAGGCUACCCAGCUGAGGCCCACCUAGGAGUACUCUGAGUCAAAGGCUCCACCCCCUCCAUCCCCAUCCCAUGGGGGUAAAGUCCACAAGGAGGCUUCCUUUACACAUGGAGAUAUCAGUCCUGCCAAGAUGCUUGCCCUCAGUCCAGCCCCCUCCCUCUGACUGCAGAAAGUCUGGGCUGCAGCCAUGCACAGAACCCAGGUCCCAGCACUACCUACCGAGACUUGGGCAUUGAGGGCUUGAGGAGUCAACAGAGCCUAUGCUGGCCUGAGGCAGCCAUCCAGAGCUGGGCCAGGAAACUUUUACCCAGCCUUCAAAGCCACCAGUCAAGGACUCUUCCUUUUUAUGGUAAGGCUUCACCUCAGAAGCGGUUUCCACAAAAUACAUGGAAAAUGACUUUUCAGGGCAAAGUAAUUUAUUAGUAAUUUAAUGACAGCCAGGUUGUAGUUUUGAAAGAGAAUACCACAUCAGGAGAGAUCUUGGGAUAAAAAUAUUGCUUGUCCAUGGUUGGGAUCCCCCACAUCAGAAAGAGCAUACAUUUUACUAAAAAUAUUUCAUGUGCAAAACAUGACUCAACCUGUUUGAGGGCUCUGGCUUCUGUGGUUAGUAG